rnacentral:tRNA from 1 species
GGGGAUGUGGCUCAAGUGGUAGUGCGCUCGCCUGCCAUGUGCGGGGGUGCUGGGUUCGAUCAUCAGCACCACA